CAAGCUGUUCUAUUAGGUGAGGUUUUCUUUUACAUUGAAUAUUUUGGUGUGCAAUUCACUAUAGUUUGA
rnacentral:tRNA from 1 species